UGGAGGCAGCAGUGAGGAAUAUUGCAAAAUGGGCGAAAGCCCGAUGCAGCAACGCCGCGUGCGCGAUGAAGGCCUUCGGGUCGUAAAGCGCUUUUCGAAGGGAUGAGGAAGGACAGUACCUUCGGAAUAAGUCUCGGCUAACUACGUGCCAGCAGCCGCGGUAAAACGUAGGAGGCAAGCGUUAUCCGGAUUUACUGGGCGUAAAGCGCGUGCAGGUGGCUGCGCAAGUUGGAUGUGAAAGCUCCCGGCUCAACUGGGAGAGGUCGUUCAAUACUGCGUGGCUGGAGGAUGGUAGAGGGAGGUGGAAUUCCGGGUGUAGUGGUGAAAUGCGUAGAUAUCCGGAGGAACACCAGUGGCGAAAGCGGCCUCCUGGACCAUGCCUGACACUCAGACGCGAAAGCUAGGGUAGCAAACGGGAUUAGAUACCCCGGU
rnacentral:rRNA from 1 species